rnacentral:lncRNA from 1 species
AAGCUGAAAUUUUAUUUUUCCAGGUAUCUUUUGGUAUCAGCUUAGUGAGUCCCACAUUUUAGGAGCUUUUUUUGCUUGCCUCUGACAGUUUCUUCGUAGUCAGGUAUGGCAGAUGAUGUCUGAUGGUUUUAAAAUAAUAAUGAAUGCCAUAAAAUUCUUUGUUUACUUAGUGAUGUGAUCCUGUAUCUUAAUUUCAAAUGAACAAGCAUCCGUAUGGUGUAUGGGAAUAAGUAAGCUGACCCUUGUUCUGUGUUAGCUGUUGCUGGACUGCAGCUGACUCUUCAGGCAAUAGAAGAACCUAGUGGUAGAACAUGAAGUGGUAUGAAACCAUUCCUGAUGGCAAUCAGCUUGUCACGUGUGCCUGAGGGAAAGGGCCGAAAAGUAGCCUGUAAGCAUUUCCACUUCACAGGGUUGAAUUGUGGUUUUACUAUUGUCAGUAUUUGGCUAAUAAUGGGGUAGGAGUUGAACCCAGUUUAUGGGUAUAGUUCACCAAAUUCAGUUCUACUCCACUUCAAGAGAAGCAGCACCAAAUGUAAGCAAAAUGUCUCUUGCUGCAUUAGUAUUUAAACUUUAGUAACAAAACGACUUAGGACUGACAGCAGUAGCCUCGGUCUCAGAGGCAAGCAGAUACUUCUCAAAGCUGCCCUACUGGAAAGUAUAUUGGUCUCUGGUUCUCUUUUUAUUGUACUCUGCUAAACUUACAAUCACAGGACUUAGAAACACCUCCCCAUACACUUUUUAGUACAUCUUUCCAUGAUACAAAAUGGAUCUGUGGACUUGAGAAUGUUCCUUUUGCUCCCAGGUGUGCCAGAAGAGCUCCCAGAUAGAGACAGCCGGAGGUCCCAAGCCCAGCCAGAAUCACCUCCUGCAGCACCUAAUGCUAAAGUACAAAAGUGCAUGCCCAGACCACAUGCUACUUCUGUGAACAGAAGGAUUAGAAUGAAGUUUCAGACUUAAUCCUGGGUUUCCUGCACUGAUUCACUUCACAGUCUUACUCCUGUUUAGUUUCCUGUCUGUUAAAAAGCAUGUUUUUAUUUUCACCUGCUGUCACAACAACAAAAAAAAAAGACACUCACUGUGGUAUUUUGGUUUUUAUUGUUGAUGAACUGUGUAAAGAUUGAUGCCGUUUUUUUCCCCCCAGACUCUUCACAAGCUAGUAAUUAGCUAUGUGGUAUGCAAAUUCAUGCAGAAAACAAAUUGGUUAUGUGUUAAUUAAAACUAAAUGACAGCAAUUUUAUAUUUAGGUUAUUUUAAAGUGCCUAAAUUAUUUUGGAUGUGAAGUCUUAAGUGUUUUUCAAUGCAUGUCUUAGCCCCCUCUUUGUUACAUUCAAACUGUAAUAAAUACAUAUAGUUUCUAAUGUACA